GGGAGGAAGAGGAGCGCGUGGACAUGUCCAUCUGCGGUCAGUCUACGCGCGAGGAGGAAAAGACGCUCAGCUCAGCUCCGAUGUACCUCCUCAGGUGUGUCUCACCUGCUCUCUGACAGGAAGACAAACACUUCGCCCCGCCCCCACACAGGUGAUUCUGACGCGCCGCUGACGUCAACAACAACAGCUGCAGGUGAAUGAUGGUGGAGAAGGUGACAUACUCCAAAGAGCUGCUGCAGCGAGGAGGUGGGGGGGAGGAGCUGAGCUUCAAGGAGCUGCAAGCUGAAAACUACAAUCGGGAGCAGGUGGAAGUGGAGGAGAAACUGAAACCUCUGAGCGAGGAGGAGGAGCUAUUUGUUGGAGUUGCUACCUCUGAUUUUGGAGUAACCCAGGGGUGCAGGAACUCAUGGCCUCAAAUGCCACUUUCCUGCAGGUUUUAGAUAUCAAGCUGGGUCAACACACCUGAAUCCUGAAUGAACCUGAAUGAUUAGUUAAUUACCAGACCUCUGGAGAACUUCAAGACAUGUUAAGGAAGUAAUUUAUCCAUUUAAAUCAGCUGUGUUGGAUCAAGGACACAUCUUAAACCUGCAUGACACUGGUGCUCGAGGCUUGGAGAUGCCUACCCCCGGAGUAACCUUUGGAUGUAUUCGAGUACAUUAGAGUUCUCAGAGUAACUGUGGCUCUCCCUGCAGCUGCUUCCUGUCUCCUCAUGUGGACCUCUCACCGGUGCUUCCUUCCAGAUAUACGACAAAUUCCAGUCAUAUGCUGCAAGGCCUGCUGGAUAAUAAACAUACACCCUGCUCUCUGCUGCCACCUACUGUGUGCACCAGAAACACUGUUCUGCACGUGUGUGAAAAGAUGCUUAACGUAGAUUGAAAGGAUUAAGUUCCUGUUUCCUGCUAUUCAUAUGUCAGAGGAAGAGGACUGCUUACAUCUUACAGUUACAGUCAAUUCCUUCUUUUGAAGAGUGCUCCCUCUCAUCUGUUUUGAUUUUUAUUAAAGCUUCAAACAAUAAAUAUUACAUCAAAUUCACAUCACGUUCCUCAGAAUUCACUAAUUAAGAUCAGUUUAAGAAAUCAUUCAACAAAAUUUAUUUGAUAGGAAAAAUGUUAUUGUUUGUUAGUCUCAUCAGAAUUUCUAAACAAAAACAGAAGCAUAUUUAUAUUAAGAAAGAUGAAAUUUUAAUCAGAUGAUCUGCCAUAAAAUGUUUCAUCUUACUCCUGUUACCUGUAUCCUUUCCUCCUGCACAGGUGCAGUCAUACAAUGUGUUUUGGGCUUUUAUUGUGAAAAGGACAGGAAAAAUGCAUACAUCCAGGACAAUCGAGUUUCUGGUAUGGGUCGGCACGUCUCAUGGUGCAUUCAGAAGUCAAUGUUUCUCAGGCAGGUUCCUCAUGCAUAAUCAGAGCUGUUCUGUUCCAAACACUGAGGAAAGGAGUUUCAGUGCUUCUUCCUUUAUAGCUCUGUUUAGCAGAGGAGACACUGGACUAUCCUAGAAGUCCUUUGCUGGAUUGCAGUACUUGGGAUUCAUGGUUACUUCAGGCCAUGUCCACACUGAUACAUUUUUGUUUGAAAACGCAUCUUUUUCUCUCCGUUUUGGCGUUCUGUCCACACUGAGACGGCGUUUUUGGUCAAGGAAAACGCAGUGUUUUGAAAAACCCUCUCCAAAGCAGAUACAUUUGAAAACGUCGUUUUUGCAUUGCAGUGUGGAAGCAAAACCAGAGCCUUUUCGAAAAUGAUGACAGAUUUUAGUCAUGUGAUGCAGU